rnacentral:rRNA from 1 species
ACCUGGUUGAUCCUGCCAGUAGUCAUAUGCUUGUCUCAAAGAUUAAGCCAUGCAUGUCUAAGUUUAAGCAAUAAACAGUGAAACUGCGAAUGGCUCAUUAAAUCAGUCAUAGUUUAUUUGAUGGUACCUUACUACAUGGAUAACUGUGGUAAUUCUAGAGCUAAUACAUGCUGAAAAAUCCCGACUUCUGGAAGGGAUGUAUUUAUUAGAUCCAAAACCAAUGGCCUUCGGGUCUCCUUGGUGAAUCAUGAUAACUGCUCGAAUCGCAUGGCCUUGCGCCGGCGAUGCUUCAUUCAAAUAUCUGCCCUAUCAACUUUCGAUGGUAGGAUAGAGGCCUACCAUGGUGAUGACGGGUAACGGGGAAUAAGGGUUCGAUUCCGGAGAGAGGGCCUGAGAAACGGCCCUCAGGUCUAAGGACACGCAGCAGGCGCGCAAAUUAUCCCCUGGCAACACUUUGCCGAGAUAGUGACAAUAAAUAACAAUGCAGGGCUCUUACGGGUCUUGCAAUUGGAAUGAGUACAAUUUAAAUCCCUUAACGAGGAUCAAUUGGAGGGCAAGUCUGGUGCCAGCAGCCGCGGUAAUUCCAGCUCCAAUAGCGUAUAUUAAAGUUGUUGCCGUUAAAAAGCUCGUAGUCGAACUUCGGGUCCUGUCCGCCGGUCCGCCUUCUUGGUGUGUACUUGUUGGAUGGGACCUUACCUCCUGGUGAACGGCGAUGUCCUUUACUGGGUGUCGUCGCAAACCAGGACGUUUACUUUGAAAAAAUUAGAGUGUUCAAAGCAGGCCUUUGCCCGAAUACAUUAGCAUGKAAUAAUAGAAUAGGACGCGCGUUCCCAUUUUGUUGGUUUCUGAGAUCGCCGUAAUGAUUAAUAGGGAUAGUUGGGGGCAUUUGUAUUCCGACGUCAGAGGUGAAAUUCUUGGAUUGCCGGAAGACAAACUACUGCGAAAGCAUUUGCCAAGGAUGUUUUCAUUGAUCAAGAACGAAGGAAGGGGGAUCGAAAACGAUUAGAUACCGUUGUAGUCUCUUCUGUAAACUAUGCCAAUUGGGGAUCGGCACAGGAUUUUUAAUGACUGUGUCGGCACCCGAAGAGAAAUCUUUAAAUGAGGUUCGGGGGGGAGUAUGGUCGCAAGGCUGAAACUUAAAGGAAUUGACGGAAGGGCACCACCAGGUGUGGAGCCUGCGGCUUAAUUUGACUCAACACGGGGAAACUCACCAGGUCCAGACACAAUAAGGAUUGACAGAUUGAUAGCUCUUUCUUGAUCUUGUGGUUGGUGGUGCAUGGCCGUUCUUAGUUGGUGGAGUGAUUUGUCUGGUUAAUUCCGAUAACGAACGAGACCUUAACCUGCUAAAUAGACCAGCCGGCUUUGGCUAGCUGCUGUCUUCUUAGAGGGACUAUCAGCGUUUAGCUGAUGGAAGUUUGAGGCAAUAAC